rnacentral:rRNA from 1 species
CCUACGGGAGGCAGCAGUGGGGAAUAUUGCUCAAUGGACGAGAGUCUGAACCAGCCAAGUAGCGUGAAGGAUGAAUGCCCUAUGGGUUGUAAACUUCUUUUAUAGAGGAAUAAAACGAGGCACGUUUACCUUUUUGCAUCUACUUUAUGAAUAAGGAUCGGCUAACUACGUGCCAGCAGCCACGGUAAUACGGAGUAUGCGAGCGUUAUCCGGAUUUAUUGGGUUUAAAGGGAGCGUAGAUGGGUUGUUAAGUCAGUGGUGAAAGUUUGCGGCUCAACCGUAAAAUUGCAAUUGAUACUGUCAGUCUUGAGGACAGUUGAGGUAGGUGGAAUUCGUGGUGUAGCGGUGAAAUGCUUAGAUAUCACGAAGAACACCGAUGGCGAAGGCAGCUUACUAAACUGUAACUGACAUUGAUGCUCGAAAGUGUGGGUAUCAAACAGGAUUAGAUACCCGAGUAGUC